rnacentral:rRNA from 1 species
UACAGAGGUCCCGAGCGUUGUUCGGAUUCACUGGGCGUAAAGGGUGCGUAGGCGGUUCUGCAAGUCUGAUGUGAAAUCUCCAGGCCCAACCUGGAAACUGCAUUAGAAACUACAGGGCUAGAGGCUUGGAGGGGGAACUGGAAUUCUCGGUGUAGCAGUGAAAUGCGUAGAGAUCGAGAGGAACACCAGUGGCGAAGGCGAGUUCCUGGACAAGUCCUGACGCUGAGGCACGAAAGCCAGGGGAGCAAACAGG